AGUCCGCACCAAAACAUAGGAAGCGUAGUAUUUACGUGUCACAAGAACGUGGAUGUCUUCAAAAAUCUUUAGUGAAAGAGUCUUUCAAGACAUCCGCGGUUGUUUAGUUAAAGAGUGAAGCAGAAUUAAGUGUUGAACUCAGGGUCGGCUCUAGAACAAAUCGAAUGGGGGGGCAAUCAUUUACCACGGGGGGGCACACACUGCCGUCAACAACCAACACACAAACACCAACGCAACUUCAAUUUAAAAAAAAACAUGCUGUAAAGUCUCUUGUUUUCACACACAUGGGUGUAGUGCUAUUUUAUAGCGCACCUAUGACUUGUGCAUACACGCACGGUUGUGGCACUGUUAACAUUCAGGUAAAUAUGUUACCAAUUUGUGUUAUUUGUUGUGCAUGACUGGAAGCCAAUAGCGUAACAGGUUAAAGGUCAAUGAUGGGUAUAAAUAAAGCCACGCCUCCAAUGGGAGGGCCCGUUGAAUGAAAUG